CCUACGGGGGACUGCAGUGAGGAAUAUUGGUCAAUGGACGAGAGUCUGAACCAGCCAAGUAGCGUGAAGGAUGACUGCCCUAUGGGUUGUAAACUUCUUUUAUAUGGGAAUAAAAUGUUCCACGUGUGGGAUUUUGUAUGUACCAUAUGAAUAAGGAUCGGCUAACUCCGUGCCAGCAGCCGCGGUAAUACGGAGGAUCCGAGCGUUAUCCGGAUUUAUUGGGUUUAAAGGGAGCGUAGGUGGAUUGUUAAGUCAGUUGUGAAAGUUUGCGGCUCAACCGUAAAAUUGCAGUUGAAACUGGCAGUCUUGAGUACAGUAGAGGUGGGCGGAAUUCGAGGUGUAGCGGUGAAAUGCUUAGAUAUCACGAAGAACUCCGAUUGCGAAGGCAGUUCACUGGACUGCAACUGACACUGAGGCUCGAAAGUGUGGGUAUCAAACAGGAUUAGAUACCCUUGUAGUC
rnacentral:rRNA from 1 species